GUUUAAAAGAUGCUUUCAUUGACCCAACAACAAGGUUUUAAAAGUGUUUUCAAUUACAGGAGGGCAAAUCAACAAGGUUUGAAUGGUGCUUUCAGGGACACAAUGGUAAUACCAGGUUUAAUUGAAAUGGUGUUUUUUCAAUAAUGGAGACAAUCAACAACAAGGUUUAAAAGGUGUUUUCUGUUACAAAAGUAUAAACCAACAAGGUUCACAAAGAUGCUUUCAAAGGUUCAACGGCACCAUAUUAAAACAGACAAGGUUCAUAAGGUUCUGUCAGGGACAUGGUGAUAAUACAAACAAGGUUUUAAAGGUGUUUUCAAUGACAAAAGGGCAAAUCAACAAGGUUUAAAUGGUCCCUUCAGAGGUUCAAUGGUCAUACAAGGUUUAAAUGGUGUUUUUAAUGAUAAAGGGGAAAAUCAACGACAAUCAACACAAAGGUGCAAGGUGACAGGUGUGUGUGUGUGCUUGAGCAUGAUCUCUUCCUGUUUUUAUGUUGAUAUGUUUGUUUGGGUCAGUGUUUCAAAUGUUGUGACUAUAACCUCUCUUGAAAACCCAGUAGGUGACGCUGCAGCUUGGUAUUUUGUGUGUACUUGGUUGUUUGCAUUGAAGCAGGUGUCCUCCAGGAUCUGGAUGUCAGAGUGUAUUGGCUCUAAAGUGACACUGCAGCAUUUUCUGUCUGCAGAAAGAUUUAUGUUUUACUGUACAGAUAUGUGUUUCUGUCUCUAUCAUACUUGUUUUCUGUUUCUGUAAAGACCUAGUUUUAUGUGGUUUUUUUCCAGGAACAGGUUCUGAUCUCUUCUAGAAAUGGACCCAGCUGGAGAUGAGCAUCAAACUCGAUUUUAAACCCAAAAAACAAGGUUCAAAGGUGGUUUAAAAAACUUGAUCUCAAACAAAAAACAACGUUCAAAAGGUGCUUUCAAAAACUUAAUCUCAAAAAGGUUCAAAAGGUGCUUUCAAAAACCUGUUCUCAGACGAAUAACAAGGUUCAAAAGGUGCUUUCAAAAACUUAAUCUCAAACAAGGUUCAAAAGGUGGUUUAAAAAACUUAAUCUCAAACAAAAAACAAGGUUCAAAAGUUGCUCUCAAAAACUUGGUCUCAGACAAGUUUGAAAAGGUUCAAAAGGUGUUUGUAUUGGAAUCUUUGAAGUGUGCUUGUCAUAAUCUGUAUUUGUUGUACCUUUUUUGUGUAUUUUAUUUUCUAUUUCAUCGUGAAUCUUUGAAUCUCUGUGUUUGAAUCUUUGAACUUUGCUUGUUAUAAUCUGUAUUUGUUAUACCUUUUUUUUGGUUUGUGUGUUUUCUUUUUGUAUUUGUUUUGGUUUUUUUGUUUGUGUUUUUUUAAUUAUUUUUUUUUAUUUUGUAUACAUUUUUUGUAAACCUUUUCAAAUCUGUCCUUGAACUAUGCUUGUUAUGAUCUGUAUAUGUUGUACCUUUUUUGGGUUGUUUUGUGUUUGUUUUUUUUGUUUGUUUUUUUUUUGUCUUAUUUAUUUUGUAUAAAUGUUUUGUAAACAUUUUUGAAUCCAUCCCUGAACUAUGCUUGUUAUGAUCUGUACGCGUUGUACCUUCUUUUUGGUUUGUUUGUUUUCUUUUUGUAUUUGUUUGUUUUUUUGUUGUUUGUGUUAUUUUAUUUUAUUUUUAAUUUUGUAUAAAUGUUUUGUGAACCUUUUUGAAUCUGUCCUUGAACUAUGCUUGUUAUGAUCUGUAUAUGUUGUAUCUUUUUUUGGGUUUGUUUGUUUGUUUGUGUUUUAUUUUUGUUUGUUUUUGUUUGUUUGUUUGUGUGUGAUUUUAUUUUAUUUUUAAUUUUGUAUAAAUUUUUUUAACCUUUUCAAAUCUGUCCUUGAACUAUGCUUGUAAUGAUCUGUAUAUGUUGUACCUUUUUUGGGGUUUGUUUGUUUAAGUGUUUUCUUUUUGUAUUUGUUUGUUUUUUUGUUGUUUGUGUUAUUUUCUUUUUCUUUUUAAUUUUGUAAACCUUUUCAAAUCUGUCCUUGAACUAUGCUUGUUAUGAUCUGUAUAUGUUGUACCUUUUUUGGGGUUUGUUUGUGUGUUUUUUUGUUUUUUUGUCUGUUUUUUAUUUUAUUUUUUUUUUUAAAUUUGUAUAAAUGUUUUGUAAACCUUUUUGAAUCUGUCCUUGAACUAUGCUUGUUAUGAUCUGUAUGUGUUGUACCUUUUUUGGGUUUGUUUGUUUGUGUGUUUUCUUUUUGUUUGUUUUUGGUUUUUUUUGUUGUUUGUGUUAUUUUAUUUUAUUUUUAAUUUUGUAUAAUUUUUUUUAACCUUUUCAAAUCUGUCCUUGAACUAUGCUUGUUAUGAUCUGUAUGUGUUGUACCUUUUUGGGGGUUUGUUUGUUUUUCUUUUUGUAUUUGUUUGUUUGUUUGUUGUUUGUGUUAUUUUUUUUCUUUUCUUUUUAAAUUUUUUUGAAUCUGUCCUUGAACUAUGCUUGUUAUGAUCUGUAUAUGUUGAACCUUUUUUGGGUUUGUUUGUUUGUUUGUGUAUUUUCUUUUUGUUUGUUUUUGUUUUUUUGUUGUUUGUGUUAUUUUAUUUUUAAAUUUUGUAUUAAUUUUUUGUAAACCUUUUUGAAUCUGUCCUUGAACUAUGUUUGUUAUGAUCUGUAUGUGUUGUACCUGACCAUGAGGGGACCACCGUUUUCCUGGAGGAACUGUUGCUACAGGAAGUGCUGCCUUCCUGUGCUCUCUGAGAAAUCCAAGGAUUGUCAUUGUGUUGAAGGUAAGAUGAAGUGGGGAAAUGGUAGGAUGUACUUUUCGUCGUGCUAAUGCGAUGUUUUUACCAAAGUAAACAAAUGAAAGCAUGUAAGAAACUAGGUCCUGCAUUCUGAUAACUUCAUGCAUAUCUGGUUUCAAACAGAUUUCACUGUUUUUAAGUCGAGCAUUUUCUGCAUACCUCCACAAGUGUAUGUGUUUCUCUGCUUUUCCCCAAACAUCACAGAAGUGUGCAGCUUCGGCGUUGAACCUGGCAACCACUGCUGUCUUCAGGAAGGAUCCCAAUCACCUCAAAGAGCUGCUCCCCCAUUCUUAGAUCAACUUUCCUCUGUUUAAGAUGUGCUUCAACUGUUCUCUCAAAGUUUAAUCCCACCUAAGCAUGAUCUCUUCCUGUUUUUAUGUUGGUGUUAUGUUUGUUUGGGUUGGUGGUUCAAAUGUUGUGACUAUAACCUCUCUUGAAAACCCAGCUGGUGAUAUUGCAGCUUGGUAUUUUGUGUGUACUUGGGUGUUUGCAUUGAAGCAGGUGUCCUCCAGGAUGUGGAUGUCAGAGUGUAUUGGCUCUAAAGUGACACUGCAGCCUUUUCUGUCUGCAGAAAGAUAUUUGUUUAACUGUACAGAUAUGUGUUUCUAUCUCUAACAAUCAUACUUGUUUUCUGUUUCUGUAAAGACCUGUAAAGGUUUUAUGUUAUUUUUCAGGAACAGGUCUUGGAUUGAAACAACAAUCAAACCAACAAGGUUCACAACAAUGCUUUUAGAGACGAUGUUGUUAAUGGACACCAAGGUGUAUGAGGUGCUUCCAGAAAUGCAAUGGUUAUACAAUGGUUUAAAAGAUGCUUUCAUUGACCCAACAACAAGGUUUUAAAAGUGUUUUCAAUUACAGGAGGGCAAAUCAACAUGGUUUGAAUGGUGCUUUCAGGGACACAAUGGUAAUACCAGGUUUAAUUGAAAUGGUGUUUUCAAUGAUGGAGACGAUCAACAACAAGGUUUAAAAGGUGUUUUCAUCUACAAAAGUAUAAACCAACAAGGUUCACAAAGAUGCUUUCAAAGGUUCAACGGCACCAUAUUAAAACAGACAAGGUUCUUAAGGUUCUGUCAGGGACAUGGUGAUACUACAAACAAGGUUUUAAAUGUGUUUUCAAUGACAAAAGGGCAAAUCAACAAGGUUUAAAUGGUCCCUUCAGAGGUUCAAUGGUCAUACAAGGUUUAAAUGGUGUUUUUAAUGAUAAAGGGGGAAAUCAACAACAAGGUUGAAAAUGUGUUUUCAUUUACAAAAGUAUGAACCAACAAGUUUCACAAAGAUGCUUUCAAAGGUUCAACAGCACCAUAUUAAAACAGACAAGGUUCUUUCUGAGAAGUGGUGAUAAUACUAUCAAGGUUUAAAAGGUGUUUUCAAUGACAAGGGGCAAAUCAACAACAAGGUGAAAAAGGUGGUUGAAGAACAAGGUUUUACAGGUUUUAUGGCAUUCAAGGUUAUUUCCUUUUUUUUUUUUUUUUUUUUUUCAUGAAACUUAAAUGAAUACUUUCUUGGCCCAGCAGUAAAAUAACAAAAUCCAAAAGUAACAACUAAAGCAAAAUCAUCAAACAACAGCUCUGAGGGAAACAACAAAACAGCAAACUUCUCAAAGGAAACCUUGGACAACCUCAACAUCAACGUCAAACCUCAUCAACAUCUCCUCUACAGCUUCAACCAACAUGAUGAUGGGGAAAACAAACGUGCCCUUAAAAUGUCUUUUAUUGUGGGGAUUUUUUUUGUGUGUGUGUGUGAUUUUGCAGGGUUUUUCAUGUUUUUGUUUGUUUGUUUUGACCCUUCAGUCUCUGUAAAAACCUGAUAUCUGUACUCGUCAUGGUUUCUGUGUCCUGAUAAUCUGUGCAAGGGUUUUCUGCAUCCCUCUGGCUGCACAUGUAUGUAUCUACUUUUCCCCCAGAACAUGUGGGAGGUCUUGAGUUGUGGCGUUCGAUUUGCUGACCACCACCAGGCUCUGGGAGGAUCUGUUGCUGCCCCACCUUGAAGACCUGCUCCUCCAUCCAGACUGGGAAGAGUCACCAUCACGCUGAAGGUAGCUGGAAGUUCACUUUUAAUUAUUCUUAAGUGAUUUUACCCACAGUGUCUGAGAGUUUUUGAGAAAGUUUUUGAAGUUCUUGUGGUUGUUUUGACUGGGGUCCAAAAACUCCAGCUUUUCUGGGGGUCUUUAGACACUCAUUUUGUAGUGACCCAUCUUUUUCUGUUUCUCCAAAAACCAUCGAGUGUUGUUACAGAGUCUAUGCCGGAGAAGACCUUUGCAGACCCCCAUCACCUGAGCCUUUGCGUACUGGGUUACAA